GCCCGUGAAGCCCGUACCCUUCCAUGGUAAGGAAGGGGUCGUCGGUUCGAGUCCGACAGAGGGCU
rnacentral:tRNA from 1 species